rnacentral:tRNA from 2 species
GCGCCCGUAGCUCAGAGGAUAGAGCAGCGGUCUUCUAAACCGCUGGUCGGUGGUUCGAUUCCACCCGGGCGCGCCA